GGUUUCGUGGCCCAAUGGCAAGGCGUCUGACUACGAGGAGAAUCCAUCGCGACAACGACGAGUUGGAGAGAAUGGCUGCUUUCACGAUAAUCAGGAGAUUCUGGGUUCGACCCCCAGCGAGAUCA